rnacentral:rRNA from 1 species
UCCUACGGGAGGCAGCAGUGGGGAAUAUUGCACAAUGGGCGGAAGCCUGAUGCANCGACGCCGCGUGAGGGAUGAAGGCCUUCGGGUKGUAAACCUNUUUCAGCAGGGACGAAGCGUGAGUGACGGUACCUGCAGAAGAAGCACCGGCUAACUACGUGCCAGCAGCCGCGGUAAUACGUAGGGUGCGAGCGUUGUCCGGAAUUACUGGGCGUAAAGAGUUCGUAGGCGGUUUGUCGCGUCGUUUGUGAAAACCCGGGGCUCAACUUCGGGCUUGCAGGCGAUACGGGCAGACUUGAGUGUUUCAGGGGAGACUGGAAUUCC